rnacentral:lncRNA from 1 species
UGCGCGUAUAUUUAUAUAUAAUAUAUCUUGGGUUGGAUCAUAUCAUGUAUGUAUCGUCUUCCAGCUGUGGUUUUUGACCACUCCUCCAUUUGCAUGUGACGCUCUGUCUCCGGAUCACUAUCCAUGCACUUGCAACGUAUAAUCAUCAUCAUCAUCAUUUCAUUAUUACCCACUUCGUAUAGUUUCAAUGCUUCUCUAUCAAUACCUAAAAAUAAUAUCUA